AGGGGUAUAGCUCAGCUGGUAGAGCGCCGGUCUCCAAAACCGGAAGUCGUGGGUUCGAGUCCCUCUGCCCCUG
rfam:Asticcacaulis sp. YBE204 contig00013, whole genome shotgun sequence.